GAUGAACGCUGGCGGCGUGCCUAAUACAUGCAAGUCGAGCGAACAGACGAGGAUCUUGCUCCUCUGACGUUAGCGGCGGACGGGUGAGUAACAUGUGGAUAACCUACCUAUAAGACUGGGAUAACUUCGGGAAACCGGAGCUAAUACCGGAUAAUAUAUUGAACCGCAUGGUUCAAUAGUGAAAGACGGUUUUGCUGUCACUUAUAGAUGGAUCCGCGCCGCAUUAGCUAGUUGGUAAGGUAACGGCUUACCAAGGCAACGAUGCGUAGCCGACCUGAGAGGGUGAUCGGCCACACUGGAACUGAGACGCGGUCCAGACUCCUACGGGAGGCAGCAGUAGGGAAUCUUCCGCAAUGGGCGAAAGCCUGACGGAGCAACGCCGCGUGAGUGAUGAAGGUCUUCGGAUCGUAAAACUCUGUUAUUAGGGAAGAACAAAUGUGUAAGUAACUAUGCACGUCUUGACGGUACCUAAUCAGAAAGCAACGGCUAACUACGUG
rnacentral:rRNA from 1 species